UGCUCGCUGAUCGUUCAUAAUG
rnacentral:miRNA from 1 species